rnacentral:rRNA from 1 species
AUUGAACGCUGGCGGCAUGCCUUACACAUGCAAGUCGAACGGCAGCACGGGUGCUUGCACCUGGUGGCGAGUGGCGAACGGGUGAGUAAUAUAUCGGAACGUACCUUAUUGUGGGGGAUAACGCAGCGAAAGCUGUGCUAAUACCGCAUAAUCCCUAAGGGGGAAAGCGGGGGACCGUAAGGCCUCGCGCAAUUAGAGCGGCCGAUACCUGAUUAGCUAGUUGGUGAGGUAAAGGCUCACCAAGGCAACGAUCAGUAGCUGGUCUGAGAGGACGAUCGGGCACACUGGGACUGAGGCACGGCCCAGGCUCCUACGGGAGGCAGCAGUGGGGAAUUUUGGACAAUGGGGGCAACCCUGAUCCAGCAAUGCCGCGUGAGUGAAGAAGGCCUUCGGGUUGUAAAGCUCUUUUGUCAGGGAAGAAACAGCAGCUCUAACACAGUUUGCGAAUGACGGUACCUGAAGAAUAAGCACCGGCUAACUACGUGCCAGCCGCCGCAGUAA